AAAAAUUAAAAAAAAAAAAACUAGUCUAAUUAGAACAUAGAUGAAUCAGAUGGAGAAGGAUUAUUCACUAAGUUAAAAAUGCUAUUCCAGUAAUUCUUGUUAUCUUCACUGUUCUCAUUUGGAUUUCCACUGCCACUACCUUCCCCUCCGUUAUCGGAUUCCGUGCCACCGCCUUCCGAUAAAUCGCCGUCGCCGGAAUUGCUAAGCAAUAGAUCUGUAAAUGUUUCCACAAAAUUGGCAGGGGAAAUUUGCUCUGUAUUUGACCUUGAGGAUUCUGUUGUCCAUGUUGUGUCCAUUGGUAGAGUUAAAUCUUGUAGUCCUGACGUGAAUGAAAUUGAAUUUUCAUUAAUAACAUCUUUACUGUAUUGAGGCAAAUGUCCAGUUGAUGAGUUCCCAAAUUCCUUCCAAUCUUCUUCACUUUCAUCAUUGUUCAUAAUUCCACCUUCACUAGACCCUGAUGAAUUUCCAACAAAUUCAUACAAAACUGUAUUAGAACUUCCUCCAAUUCCUGAUGAUGUAAUAUGUUGCGCAUUUUCGAAAUAGCCUAGUGUAGAAGUAGGAGAUUCCAAAUCCCUCGCGAGUGCUCCCGCAACUGAAAUACCAGCACUAGCGCUCGCGACGGAACCUUCAUUCAUUGGUUUGGUCCAAACACCGUUCCAGGCUUUCAGCACGUUGAGACAACAUGCUGGGGCCACAACGGGUUUACUAAGAGGACUAGAAGGUGAAGGAGCGGUAAAUUCUUGAGAUGCGAGUGAAUUUUGGAAACUAUUGGACCGGAGUUUAGAUUGUCUAGCGAGUCUAGCUUCGGCUUCAAGCCGGGCACUUUCCCACUGAGCCAUGU
rnacentral:misc_RNA from 1 species